GGCACCAUGGCCUAAUGGUAAGGCGUUGCUUUCCGGUGGCAAAGAUUUGUGGGUUCGAGUCCCACUGGUGUCG
rnacentral:tRNA from 1 species